UACUGUACAGUAAUACUGAUAUUUUUUACCCCUUUUUGUAAAUCACAUCGUGGUUCUUUACAGCUUCCCGGCUCCUGUCAGGCCAAGUGAGAAUCAGGGUAAAAACAGUGCCACGUGGAGAGCUCUGUCCUGGAAGUUUACUGAGAAAUACAACUCCCAGGAACAUAGAGAACACAGAGUCAUCUCCCUGUGAGGGGCCUCAUGAACAACCCACCGUUUAUAUUUCUACUCUGAUGUAAAACAGAUGUGAAUAGGUGCUUAAAAACAAACAAGGCCAUAGUAAUCACCAACAAACCUCAAAAACCUUGACUUAUGUUGGGCAGGAUAUUCACUGCUCUGCUCUGGGAGUGUGCGUCUGCACGUGAGGCACAGGAACAGAAAGGGGAUUUUUUUUUUGGAGGAGCGAAGCUGGAAAUGAGUGGAGGAGGAGGUUACAUCAGAGACAGACAGAAAGCCAAAGGAAAGAAAUACUGAAGAAAAUUGUAGAAAAUUAACUUGUAGGCAUGAUCUAACUAUUGAGACAUCCUUCUGCAGGGACUACAUGUACAUUAGCACAACAGUUAGAGUGCUGUGAAAACACUGAUAAGGAGUGGAGAGAUACCAGGACUGAGUAAAUGCAGGCUUCAUCAGCGUUGGUCUAAUCUCUGACGUCAAACGCAUCAAGACCAGCUCUCGUACAUUAGGUGACAAGUGGCCUGUAGUGACAUCAGACACCAUCAUGUUGAAAUGCCUUGAAACAGAUUGGGUUUAAUGUGCACACAAGCGAAUGUCAUCGCGCAACUCAAAAAACAGUAAUGAUGUUCAAGUCACAUUUAGGUUUUCAGCUGUUGAAGUUAAAGUAUGCUUUUUCUUUUAUGAAAGUCUUUAUAAAAGAAAUUCAAUAACAUUUUGGGUAGCUGUGGAAACUACUGUAAUUAUUUGGAGUGUAUGAUCAACUUACAACCACCAUGUCCACUGUUGGGAGUUGAUUUAGGACAAUAAAUCUCUAUAUGGUCUAGACAAGUGGUCCCCAAACCUCCGGGCCACGGCCAGCAACGGUCCAUUGGUCAAUUGGUAACGGGCCGCACAGAAAGAAUGCAUAACUAAUUAUUUCCAUUUUAUUUAUUAUCUGAUCCUAAAAGAUGUUUCAUUUUGAAAAAUUACCAGAUUCAGUCCACCGCAUCCGUCUGUGACUCACAUUUGAUACAUGUCAAGAUGCUUGCCUUGGUCACAUGUCUUAACUUAACCUUCUGAAAAGGUCUGCUCUGGCCGCUUACACAUAAUACAUUACCACUAAAUUAAAACCUCCAAGCUAGCAAAAUGUGCCAGUUCCUGUUACUUUGUUCAGUGUAUACUGUAGAAAAUUCGCUAUACUAGGAGUAAAAAAAACAUCUUUCAUGGGGAUGAAGCAAAACUGAACAUAAUAAAAUAUAAAUGACUCCCAACAGCUCAUCUGCAGGAUCUUGGUUUUAAAAGGUUACUUACACUAAUCUGACCCAUCUGCUCUUCACACACUUGUGGUGCAAACAAUGUAAGCACCAGUCAUUCAUCUCUACUCAUCUAAGACGGACUAUAGAGGCAUGAGGUCAUUGAAGGUCAAUUGUAGACACACAUCCCUUUGCUUUUGUGUUGACCUCUGUAGCAACUUGAGAUGCUAAUGUUUUGUUAAUGUUAAAAUGUUUGUAAACAGGAGUAAGAAUAGCCCAGCACCUGCUUUCAAAUGAUCCAACCAUUUGUGAAUUUAUUUAUAUAUAUGUCUGGCAGCAGACUCUAAACAACUUCCUUUUAGCACCUCUGGCUAACAGCUUCUGGUGACAUAACACAGAUGCAACAGAUUUGCAGGAAAUAGGAGCUAGCUGAGUUCACGUAGCUAAGUGAUUAGCGUAUGGGUGCAGUCGCAGUAGCCCUUAUCUCAUUUGGUUAAAAAAAGCCUGUUUUUGUCAGUAACACUAUGAGACACUACACAAUUAUCAGUCAGCAGCAGCAACUAACAGACUGUGGCAGCAGUCACCUUUUUGUACCAAGAACCAGUCGGCCGGUAUCAACAGUUAAGGCGGACUGGUAAUACCGGGCCAUCAUUGAAGGAUCAUUAAAUUUUCAAAAUAAAACAUCUUUUAGACUUUGUUCUGUAGUAUCGGAGUCUGAAUGAUGUACUGUUUUGAAACAUUGCCAGUUUAUAGCCUCUGCGUGUUUGCUCGGAGUCUGUGCUCAUUUCUUCUCCUACAUCAUACUUACUAUUACUAAACUGUUUUAUGAGUGAAAAGUGAGUUUUCCAAUGGUCUUAUUGAUCUGUUAAGGGUAAAACAAUAGUCACUUCAUAGCUGUUAGAAAUUUGGUUACUUUUCUUAGUGUUUUCUCUCUUUUCAGGAAAUCAGUAUAUAUUUUCAGGAAAUCAGUAUAUAUUUUUUAAAGAACACUGAUUUUGACUAAUGGCAUGUUUUACUGUUUAAUACUAUUAGUUCAAAUAUUUUAUAUAUAAAAAUCAUGUUUUUGCUGAUUUAGACUUGGUUCUUUUUCAUUUUUAAGGAGGCGCCAACAACUCCCAGCUUUGGAUAAGACUGACCAUUAGUGACUUAAGUUAUUUAUUCCAUAUUGAUAAUAUUUUCUAUUUUGUUUGAAAAUUAGAGGGGGCUCUAUAUUUUUGUCACUUGUUUUUAAUCCAAUUAUCUGGGAAAACCUUUGUUAGCUUUAGUGAAUCAAAAUAACAGAUAAAGACACCAUGGCUCUGUUGAAGUGCUCCACUCAGUCACCCUGACAACUGUUGCCACGUGAUAGCCCAGAAGCUGUGAAACAGUACCUGGAGCUCACCUUCUUCUGGCACAGAAGAGAAACCACAUUUCUAAUUCAUGACAGGACCCUGACCCUCCAGGCAACAGGACCCUACCACUGCACUCUACUGACAUGUAAUAGGGCUGUCCCACAAUGCAGCAUUCAACUGAAUGCUCUGCACCCUUUGUUAAUGAGUCAGUCUGAGGCUCAUUCAUUCUUCUGCCCACCUGCUGUGUCAUUCACCUGUUCAGUUGGACUAAGGCGUCAGAGUUGCACCUUCACUAAUUAUUUAUCCUGGGGUUCCUGGGAAUAGGUUUUACUCAUUCCUGGUGUUGGAACUAAAUUGUGAAGACUAAAAGGUUCAACUAAAGAAAAUAGCCUAAAUAAAUGUCUCAGUUGUCCAGUGUUUGCACCAGGUUUGUGUUUGUGACCUUUUGAUAAAGAAGAGGUGUGGCAGGUCAAAGCAACAUUUGCUGUGAUAUUAUUUUGUACUUUCUUUGACCGUAAAGCCUCAUUAAUGUCCAUCAUUAAAACUCUCUCAGAAGGUAUAUGGUAUUACUGUGAUUAAAAAAAAAAGUAACUUUGAGAUUGUUUCUUUUUUUUCUGCAUCAUGGACAUCGGCCUUUACUUAAAGAAGAUUCUCUUUUGAUCAAGCAGUCCUUUCAGUUGUCUUUCUGAAGUUGUCUUGAUGUGUGUUACAGCUAUGAUGAAACACAUCAGCAGUGGCUGUUAAUUAUUUAGUACAGUAACUGUAACAGACAGACUAUAAUAGUUAGUCUGCACCAGUCCUGUGGUAGCAGGCCACUGCUGCUUAUUGUGCAUGGUGGAAACUCUGGAAGAACUCUUCGGCUUAUGUUACACAUAGUAUUUAUUUAACCCAGGGCAGGAUUUUUCAGGUCAGAAACAGCGUUAACCUCAGAUGACUUGAUGAACAUCAUGUUUGUGUAAAUAAUGUUCUGCUUCCGUUGCUCGAACAGAGGAACCCAGCUGACCAGUUUGUUGCUGUUACAUGAUAGCAUCAAACCGAUGAAACCCUACAAAAACAUUGCUUGUAUAAAAAAAACAUGAAAUUCAAAUACUAGGAUGUUUUCUUUUACAGUUUUAACACUGAAAACUGAAAAAUAUUUGCACACCUUAGAUUGUUACACAUGAACCCUAUUUUUUAGGUUAAUGUAACGGUUCUUAUCAGCCUGGGACACCUCUGUGGCAGGUGUGUAUUCAAACUUAGAGUCUUGAUCAGCAGUACUUAUUCUAACACUCUCACAUUGUUUUCAUAAAUUUCCCUCUGCCACAUCAUCACACACCAUGCAAACUGAAUGUAAAUCCUGGAGUGAUCUCUACACUUUCUUUGUCCUUACACCUUCCUUAAAGUGGAGUGAAACCUCUGUUUGAUUCCCUGACUCAUCAGUUGAGAAAACCAACCCGCCUCUGCUGACAUGAAUAGUUUAUUUGCAUACAGCUUUGUUUUCAGCCGUUGAGUUACCCUGAGGGGAGCAGGUGGUGAAGCUCCAAGCCUUGAAUCAGAGAUUCCCAGGUAAAACAGUGAUGUGUGUUACCCAGAGUUUUUACCAUAACGUAAUGAUGACCUUAGAUAGUAGGAAGGAAAUAUCUUCUGUUGGGAUUACAAAAUAAUAACUAAGCUGUAUCAAGUAUCAGCACAUUUUAGGAAAACAUGCUGCAAGUAAUUUAGUCCAAUUUCUAAACAUAGGUCUAGAUCUAAGCAAGAAAUCACAUUCCGUCAUCAUACACACCCAUAAACACACCCACACAGUCCAUUUUUUUAGUAAGUUAGACAAUGCUGGAUCAUCAAGCUGUGUAAGGAAUGUGGGUCAGAGAGGAGAGAGUGCUCACAGUCCAACAGUGAGUGAAAAACUGUGAGUGUCGGAGUGAGACAAAAAGAUAGAGACAGGAGAGACUAAAAA